GCUGCCUGAACAGGCAAAAUCCAACGGGCAGCGAUGUCCAUCUUGUUCCUAACAUAAAUCUCUCUGAGCGUCGCGAAACUUCGGAAACGCUUAGCACCUUCUGGAAGUCAGGCGCGAUCGUAUUCAUCGUGUCCCUGCAGUGAAAUGCCUGACCUACCCUGAAUGCAGUGGAUCUGACAGUGGGUGGAAAGUGGUGACUCAGACAUUGUCACAAUGUUGAAACUCAUCUGUCUGGAAGGGUGUUCUGCCAUGUGGUGCGGGAGAAGGAGAUGGCAUGAGGGAGGGAAGAGGAGGUGCCGUUUCUUGGAUUAGAGCUUUUGUAAGCUUCCAGAAGAGAGGAAACUCAGAUGUUUAGCUGGCAGCAGUUGGUGAUGAGGGAAGAACCUUGGCUCAGUUCCCUGUUGGGCGCAGGGAGCAGUUUCCCUCCAUCUGUUAGGAGCUUCUGAUUAGAUGAGGUAAUGAGAAUGAAGAAACCAGAGAUGUGAGUCAUGAAAGGAUCUGGGUGAACUGAAUCUGAUGGAGGAAGAGCUUGCAUGAGAGCAUGUUUUAUGGCCAAAACCAUUUUGUCUUUGACUGAUAAACUAAGUGAUGCAGAAGUUCUCAGCAUGGAAAAAGUAAUGGUCCUAAAACAUCUUAGGAAAAAAACCCAGUCUUUCUCUUCUGAGUGGAAGGGAGAUGUCCUCUGGCGUGUUUCAGUGCCUGAUGACUGUCCUCAGCAUUCUUGAUAAAUCCCCAUGCCUACUACACUCGUCCUCACAGCAUGAGCCCAUCUUCACUCCAGGCAGAGUGACUGGGAGCCCCUGAAAAGGAGCUGGGGGCCAAGUUCAAAUGCCUCACUUUCUGGGCUGUGACCUUCUGUCCAGGGAGCUCUCAUCAGGAGCCCACACAUCUCACCAGGGUUAAACACUCUGAGGAAGGAGGUCUUACCCCCUUGCAUUAAAAAUGUUGGAAAGACUCCAGAAAGGUUUCCCUAGUUUCUAGAAGCAACACGAGCUCUUUGGUCCUAUGGUAACAAAAAUCACAAUGCAGGGACUAAGCUUGGCAGUUUGAUAACAUUCUGUACAGCAGAAGAGAACUAUUGCCUGGGAGAGCAGAGCAGCUCUUAUCAACACGUGAUCAUCUUCUCUCCGAGCUGUUUGCAGCACUGAGACCAAGCCUCUGAAAGGCACAGAGCAGCAGUGCACUGCUUUUUUCUAUUUCAUUUCCCUCAGUACCUUAUAAGACAUCCUAGGUUGUUCUCAAAUGCUCAUGCACCUGUCUCUCCCUAAGAAAUCUUGCUGAAGGCGUGGAUGUAGCACCAUGAAAUCAAAUGGCAAAGAUGCUAAAAGUCAGGCCCAAGGUUCUCCUCUAACCCCCAUUCUUGAAGCCAACAUUGGUUAUCUGUUGACAUGAAUACCUGGUGUGCAUUUAUUAUUGUAUUAUCAGGAAUUAGCUGUUGAUGUGAGGAAGUUUUGAUUAUGUGAGCUGCGAAGAUCAUGCUAAA